CCCCACUGUAUCGAGAAAGGUUGUACUGUAUACGGUAUUUUUUAUGAACAACAAAUAUAAAAAAGAAGAUGUGGUAUGAUUGCCAAUGAGACAGCUAUCCACAAAAGACCAAAAUGACACAGACAUUAACAACUAUAGGUCACCGUACGGCCUUCAACAAUGAGCAAAGCCCAUACCGCAUAGUGAGCUAUAAAAGGCCCCGAUAAGACAAUGUAAAACAAUUCAAACGAGAAAACUAAUGGCCUUAUUUAUGUAAAAAAAAAAAAUGAACGAAAAACAAAUAUGUAACACAUAAACAAACGACAACCACUGAAU
rnacentral:lncRNA from 1 species